UUGUCCAAAGAGCUAUGAAAAUCAUUUACUAGAGCAAUCAAACCUACAUCUAGCCAUGUUAACAAUUCAUAUACCCAUCAUUUGAGAUGUAAAGAAUCUAAUGCUUAUAUCAACUUUCAUUGCUUAGCCUUUAAUCAAUUUAAUUAUCUAAAAAUCCCAAACCAAUCAAUCAAAAGAGAAAGUUAUGUUCGAAAAGAAUUCUAAAACAAUCAAUAGCCAAAGUAUCUCUAUGUAAAAUGAUGGAAUUUGAUGAAUUGAUGAAUAUAUUUCCAAUCCCAUAAGCAAACUUCCUAUCCAUAUCUCUAGUAAUGAAGCAAGUACAAUUAAUAGAUCGAAGGACUUUAAGGGUUGUAUUAGGGUUAAAGGGCUUAAAAUGAGGCUAACAAAGAAGAGGUAAAAGAGAUUCAAAGUAUAAAAAUAUUUUAAUAUGAAAAUAUAAAGUAAUCCCUUUUAUUUGUAAAUUUUUUUUCUAGAUAAUAAAAAAUGAG
rnacentral:misc_RNA from 1 species